rnacentral:ncRNA from 1 species
AUUAUGUUUAUUAUUUAUAAAUUAGAAAUAAAGUUUUAUUAUUGUUUUAGGGGUUAAAUAAAAUUUAAAAUUUACAUGUAAAUUUUAGUGGGGCAAAAAAAUUUUAUUUAAAUAAUAGAAUAAUUAGGGGUUAUUCGCAGUAGAUAAAUUUAAAUAUUAAUGAAAAUUAGAUUUGGGGAAGAUUUUUAUUAUUAACAAAAUUUGUGCCAGCAGUUGCGGUUAUACAAAUAAUAUAAUUUAAUUCUAUUUAGUAUUAAUAUGUAGGUAAUUAAUAAAUUUUUAGGGGAAAUUUAUUAGGUGAAAUUUUAAUUUUUAAAGGAAUUUAAGAUUGAUUAUUAUUUGAGAAAUUUAAUAAUAGACUAGGAUUAGAUACCCUAUUAUUUUAAAUGUAAAUUUAUACUAGAUUAGUAAUAGUUAGGUUCUUUAAAAUUAAAGAUUUUGGCGGUUUUUUAGUCUAUUCAGAGGAACCUGUUUUGUAAUCGAUAAUCCACGAUUAAAAUAUCUUUUUUUAUUAGUUUGUAUAUCGUCGUAAAUUGGGGAUAUUUUAAAAGAAUAAUAAUAUUCGGAAAAUAUUUUUUAUUAUACAUCAGAUCAAGGUAUAGCUUAUAAAAAAGUAAUAAUGGGUUACAUUUAUUUAAAUAAGGAAAAAUUUGUUGAAAAUAAAUUAGAAUUUGGAUUUGAAAGUAAUUUUAUCGAUAUAGAUAUAAUGAUUAUAGCUCUAAAAUAUGCACAUAUCGCCCGUCGCUUUCAUUUUUAAGGUGAAAUAAGUCGUAACAAAGUAGUCUUACUGGAAAGUGGGUCUAGAUUGAU